rnacentral:rRNA from 1 species
UGGGGAAUAUUGGACAAUGGGGGAAACCCUGAUCCAGCAAUGCCGCGUGAGUGAAGAAGGCCUUAGGGUUGUAAAGCUCUUUCGCCCGUGACGAUGAUGACGGUAACGGGAGAAGAAGCCCCGGCUAAUUCCGUGCCAGCAGCCGCGGUAAUACGGAAGGGGCUAGCGUUGUUCGGAUUUACUGGGCGUAAAGCGCAUGUAGGCGGCGGAUCAAGUGGGGCGUGAAAGGCCUGGGCUCAACCUGGGAACUGCGCUUCAGACUGGUUCGCUCGAGUUCGGGAGAGGGUGGUGGAAUUCCCAGUGUAGAGGUGAAAUUCGUAGAUAUUGGGAGGAACACCGGUGGCGAAGGCGGCCACCUGGCCCGAGACUGACGCUCAAGUGCGAAAGCGUGGGGAGCAAACAGG